rnacentral:rRNA from 1 species
CAUUGAUUCGAUCGAACCAACCCGGUGACCCCUGUUGCCCGAUCCCGGCGGCCUCGCGCCGUUGGGUGGCCCGUAGGCGAGGGGGCCUCCCCCGACUGAACUGGGGGGAGCGUGCCCGAGCCACACAAAGCGGGUUCUCGAUCGAGGACCUGCCCGAUCAAAACCUUUUUGCCCCGAAAGGGGCAAAGGGGGGCGCCCUCACGGGCGCUUCAUCGGGCAGAAUUCCGAUCGGGAAGGCGCAUUUGAACCUCGAAAACUCGCCCUGAAGCAGCCUGGCACCAAGGUGCUGGCAUGAAACGAAAGACAACUCUCAACAACGGAUAUCUUGGCUCCCGUAACGAUGAAGAACGCAGCGAAAUGCGAUACCUAGUGUGAAUUGCAGAAUUCCGUGAAUCAUCGAGUCUUUGAACGCAUAUCGCGCUCGAGGCUUCGGCCGAGAGCAUGUCUGCCUCAGCGUCUUUCUCACUUCUCCUUGUUUCCCCAUUUGCGUCGACAGGCCCAGUGGGGAGGCAGGGGAUCUGGUCGUUCCGUGCCCUGGCGCUCGGAUCGGUCGAAAUACAGAAGGGCCCUCCCCCCACCAUAAGGGCUUCGAAAGGUGGAUUGCCUUCGGGCGAUGCCGAUCGAGGCCUGGAGGGGUUGUCUCGCCCUCAAGCUCGGAGAUGGCACCCAACCUUUUGACCUGAGUUCAGGCAAGAUCACCCGCUGAACUUAA